GUCUAUGGCCAUGCCACCCUGAAUAUGCCCAAUCUCAUCUUAUCUCAGAAGCUAGGCAGGGUCAGGCCUGGUUAGUACUAGUAAUACCAGGUGCUCUAAGUG
rnacentral:rRNA from 1 species